rnacentral:misc_RNA from 1 species
AUAUUACCAGGUAAGUGCAAAACAUCUUUGAAUUCAUUUUCUGCUUGCUACAGAAUAACUUGAAGGCGGAAAAAACGCCACGAAUAAAAACGAAACAGAAACGUAAAGGAAGCAACAUUUAUGCAGCUGAAGACAGAACACUACCCUAAAGGUACAGAAGAAAAAGAAAUGAUCAUAUAACUAGAUUUACAUGGCGAAAAAAGACAUUACAGAUUCAACUACGAAGAAUAAUUUACAGUCGUAAAAUAGUUCUGAGAGUAUCACAGAGGUUUUGAAUCGUCUGUUGUUCCUGAGAUGCUUGCAUUUCCUGAAGAGGCAUCUCUUCAUAGCACAUUUUAUGAUACGCUAAGGCUUGAGCAAGAUUCAUUAGUGUAGGACUCGAGGUUAGUCUUUGGUAUACACUUGGAGGAAGGGGAACCUCAUUUUGUCUGCUUCGACCUUUCUUGGAUUGAGAAUCACCAGAGAAGAGUUCCUGCAUUGCUUCUACAGCAGUCUUUCCACUAUUAUCCCUUUGCCAGUCCCCGAGCACAUCCUCAGACAAGAGUGCAAUCGGUGAUAUGUCAGUUGCUCUUAGAAAUGGAAUUGGCACUGUGUUACCAGCCGAGUAUAUGGACCGAAGCUUGUCCAAUGCUCUCCGACUGACAGUUUCAUUUGGCAAGGUUCCAGUAUUAUAGCCGCCGCCACCACUACUAACAGUUGCUUGAGAUGUAGUACUCCCCUUGAGGCCCUGAUCAGGAGAAGGUAAGGUUCCGGGAGAAGAUACUUGCAUGCUCUGUCUCUGGGACAUUCCAACGGGUGAACUGACAUCAAUAUCAUUAAGCAACCAGGGAUCAUUUGAUUUGCCAGCAAUGGUGGGGAUGGAAGGAAUUCCAGUACGCCGCAGAGUAGAUGAAGCUUCUGCAUUUCUGAUUUGACUAGCUGUUUUAUCAAUAUCAGGUCCAUCUCGGACUAUCAUAGUCCCAAAAUCACCUUCUCCCACGGGCUCCAAGCUUGUAGAAGGGGCAUCAUCAUUUUUAGGCUUAGAAGGAACAGUAUCGCCAAAUUCAUCAUUCACUUUUGGACCUCCCAGAACCUCGGGAGUCUCGGAAGCAAUAUUUUGCGCUUCCAAGGCCAUUGAUGCCCUAAUUUGUUUGGCCUUCUCAAUCUUCGGCAUCAUUACAGAAGCUCCAGCUUUGAAUUUUUCGAUGAAUUUGUGCUUUAACAUCUCGGAGGCAGUUGGACGAAGUCGAGGGUCUUUUGUAAGACACUUGGCAACA